rnacentral:rRNA from 1 species
AUUGAACGCUGGCGGAAUGCUUUACACAUGCAAGUCGAACGGCAGCACGGACUUCGGUCUGGUGGCGAGUGGCGAACGGGUGAGUAAUGUAUCGGAACGUGCCCAGUCGUGGGGGAUAACGUAGUGAAAAUUACGCUAAUACCGCAUACGAUCUAUGGAUGAAAGCGGGGGAUCGCAAGACCUCGCGCGAUUGGAGCGGCCGAUAUCAGAUUAGGUAGUUGGUGGGGCAAAGGCCCGCCAAGCCAACGAUCUGUAGCUGGUCUGAGAGGACGACCAGCCACACUGGAACUGGGACACGGUCCAGACUCCUACGGGAGGCAGCAGUGGGGAAUUUUGGACAAUGGGCGAAAGCCUGAUCCAGCCAUUCCGCGUGCAGGAUGAAGGCCCUCGGGUUGUAAACUGCUUUUGUACAGAACGAAAAGGUUUCUACUAAUACUAGGAGCUCAUGACGGUACUGUAAGAAUAAGCACCGGCUAACUACGUGCCAGCCGCCGCGGUAA